UACGGAGGGAGCUAGCGUUGUUCGGAGUUACUGGGCGUAAAGCGCGCGUAGGCGGCUGCUCAAGUCAGAGGUGCAAGCCCGGGGCUCAACCCCGGAACUGCCUUUGAAACUAGGUAGCUAGAAUCUUGGAGAGGUCAGUGGAAUUCCGAGUGUAGAGGUGAAAUUCGUAGAUAUUCGGAAGAACACCAGUGGCGAAGGCGACUGACUGGACAAGUAUUGACGCUGAGGUGCGAAAGCGUGGGUAGCAAACAGG
rnacentral:misc_RNA from 1 species